CUGAGAGGUUGACCGGCCACAUUGGGACUGAGAUACGGCCCAGACUCCUACGGGAGGCAGCAGUGGGGAUUAUUGGGCAAUGGGCGCAAGCCUGACCGAGCAACGCCGCGUGAAGGAAGAAGGCUUUCGGGUUGUAAACUUCUUUAAGAGGGAAGAGCAGAAGACGGUACCUCUUGAAUAAGCCACGGCUAACUACGUGCCAGCA
rnacentral:rRNA from 1 species